UUGAUCCUGGCUCAGAUUGAACGCUGGCGGCAUGCCUUACACAUGCAAGUCGAACGGCAGCACGGGGGCAACCCUGGUGGCGAGUGGCGAACGGGUGAGUAAUACAUCGGAACGUGCCCUGUAGUGGGGGAUAACUAGUCGAAAGAUUAGCUAAUACCGCAUACGACCUGAGGGUGAAAGCGGGGGACCGCAAGGCCUCGCGCUACAGGAGCGGCCGAUGUCUGAUUAGCUAGUUGGUGGGGUAAAAGCCUACCAAGGCGACGAUCAGUAGCUGGUCUGAGAGGACGAUCAGCCACACUGGGACUGAGACACGGCCCAGACUCCUACGGGAGGCAGCAGUGGGGAAUUUUGGACAAUGGGGGCAACCCUGAUCCAGCAAUGCCGCGUGUGUGAAGAAGGCCUUCGGGUUGUAAAGCACUUUUGUCCGGAAAGAAAUGGCUCUGGUUAA
rnacentral:rRNA from 1 species